UUAUUUGUACAUCUUCAGCCUCCUCACCCCCACAGCUGUCUACUAAAAAAGGGUGAACUGUCCUUCUUUAAGUGAGCAGUGAUGUAAUGGUGCCUGUUAACAAAGUCUCUGUGGUAUUGUGAUUGCAGGACUUUCCAUUAGAGUGACUUUACUGGGACUUCUCCAAGAAACAAAUUCAGAUGUAAUCACCUCAUGUGUUGCAAUGGAAACAGCCCCAGAGUACUGCUCCAGCGUUUCAAAUCAGAAAGACAUGCUGAGCGCCGUAGUAUUAGGAAUAUCUGCUUGGUCCAACACUUCCCAGAAACAUAACCCCUGGAGAUAUCAUAUCUACUGUUUAGCUACUAAACAAGUUUACACCAAUGCAUGACUGGUUUGAUUUUCAGAAGCACUCUGCACUGAUCAGCUCAUCUUCCACUGGAAAUGGAAAUAUUACAGGCAAGUAAGACUGAGAUAAACCACUUUUAAAAUGCUGAAUUUGAGAUUCAAUACAUGAGAACAUAUGGUGGAGAGGGAGUCACACAGGAUAAGAGUCACACCCAAAAGCAUUUUGUUUAAAUGUGUGUACAUUCUGGUGAGGCAGUAACAGAAGUUUUGAGUUUUCACAUUACUGCUAGUAAGAUUUACUGUGAAAGAGCAUUAGUUGUAGCAGGCAGAGAGCACCACUUCUGUGAUGUCUCACCACAUCCAGCUAAACUGUGCUUAAAUCACUCUAGCCUUAAGCACUCUUGAACCAGCUCAGUAAACAUGGUUUUAAUACAAGCAAGGAUUGGACCAGAGCAAAUCAGUGCCAGAGCUUGGAAAACAACCCAGGACUACUGGCCCCCAAGUCUAUGCUCUAAUUAAUGCAAACAUUUCCUUUCUCAUCCAGCAAGUUAGGACUGCAAGGGAUAUGAAAUGACUUCUGAGGGUUUAUAUGUGUUGUUUGACUAACCUGCAUCUUGUAAACAUUAGUUAUGAUUAGACUUUUAGUACAAAUUCCAGAUUGCAGAGAUCACUGUUCUCGGUCAGAUAUUUUUCUGAUUCAUUGAUGUGUUUUGUUUUUCCUGGCUUUGUAUUAAGGGACUUAUGCCUCACUGUGUUGUGUAACAAGGAUUGGGAGCUGCUCUUUGGCUACAGCACUGCUCACGCAAAGAUACUUAGCCCCAGUAAAGCUGUUUUAAAUCUGCCAUCUAACCAACAGCACUUUUCUUCUGCUUUUUUUCCAUUGGCUGUGAAUGGUCAUUUGUUGGCUCUGGUUCAGUCCUCCUGACAGGAAGGGUUUUCUUGAGGACAAUAGAACAUAGCUAGGGUGUCUGAGCAUCUAUUAGACUUUCCAUAACAGUCUAAAUUAGUGCUUUUCAAACUGCUUUCACCUUGCAGCCCCCUCAACCUUUUCACUGGGAGGAGCAAGCCCUAUGUGUAACAAACUUCAGUCUAAUGAGAGGAUGCCCGCAUGAUAUAGUUCACAACUCCUCAGAUGACUUCCUGGGUCACAAGCUGAGAAAGGCUGCCCAGAGCCAAAGUCUUAUAUGUGAACUCACCUCAGUCUAGGGAGUUUUCAAUUCAGAUCCAAAGAUUGUAAUGGGAGAAAUAUUUCCAGUGAUAACUUUGCAUCGUUGCUUCUGUUUAAAGUCUGUCGCCAUUAAUGGUGUUUUCUCUACAUCAGAUAUUUUGCUUUGUCAGAUUACUUACUAUCACAGAGGUGGGUUCAUAAAUUUCUGGUUGAAUCAAGCCUUUCAUUUCUAAAUACACUUGUCACCUUCUGACCUUUUGAGUUUGAAGGAGGAAGGGUAGACAGAAUGGGGUACAGAUGGUGUAGAAGAGCUUUUCCUUUCUUAGAUGUUGCAGGGCAAGCGGCACAUCACAGAAUACGCUGGUAACUUCACAUUGGGUGAGAAAAAUAAUGGGAAUUUUCCUUUCCUCUGGGUAUGAACAGCUCUCACACAAACAAGUGUUUAGUAGGCAGCCUGCAGCAUCAGUUACUCACCGCAAACAACUCUUCUGUUUCCGUACUCAGG